GGGUGGGUCCAGCGCGGCGAUGCCCUUUGAAAUCCGUCAGGUCCGAGAGGAAGCAGCGGUACAGAGGCGCUAUCGGGUGCCGCUGGGGUUCCGAUCCAG
rnacentral:SRP_RNA from 1 species